CAGGCAGGCUAGUCCCAACAACACAGCCAGUUGUUUCAGCUAGCAGUGCUGACUGGUCAGAUAGCGUCAGCAGGCAGGCUAGUCCCAACAACACAGCCAGUUGUUUCAGCUAGCAGGGCUAACUGGUCAGAUAGCGUCUGUCGGCUACCCCAGGGCCUUAUUACACACUGUAUGCAUCCCAAAGGACACACUAUUAUCUAUAUAGGUCAUUAGUCUUGACCAGGGUCCAUUGGGGUCUACAGUAGUGCACUAUGUAGGGACUAUUGUUCCAUGUGGGACAUAUCUAAACUAACAGUCAGCGUGCAAUUUAGCGUGGGACACAGUGUGUGUCCUAAAUGGCACCCUUCUCCUUAUGGGGCACUGAUCAAAAGUAGAGCACUAUAUAUGGUGCUAUUUAGGAAGCCCCCUGUUUUCUCCAACUAUUCUCCUGAUCUGGCAGUCUCACGACAAACCUGCUGGAACAAAGUCUCCAUGUCAAUUUGGCUGGCUAAGCUCAGAUACUUAAAGUGCCCUGAAAUAGUAUGAAGAUGUGGAAAAACUAAAUAUUAUGGCAAUUUAAGUGGCAUUAUAGCUUUCUGUACAUCCUGUCCCCCUGGUCUAGCUGCUUGUGUUAAGGUCUGUAUGGCUGAAUGCAAUACAUAAAACAAGCCCUUCUGUAUAGAAGGCCAUUGUGUGCGUGUGUUUCUGCAUCAGUAGUGUGUGUUUGUGUGUGUGUUCUCACUGUGUAAUUGGGGGGUUCCUAUGUAAAUGUGUCACGUUAACAUGUGAGUGUAGAGUUUGGCUCAGAGAGUUGGUUAUUUAACUGUAAGACAUUAUAGGGGAUGUUGGUCUUCUCCAUAUUGGUCUUCACAUUACUGUGAACUGAUCCAUGGAAAACCAACACGAUACACAUUGACACAUUGACACACAAAACACUGACACAAAUGGUGCUGGAGGAGGGAAACAAACUUCCUGUUAGUGCCCAUCCAACAGGCUUAGGUCAUAACUUCCUGUUCUUACUGCCUACCCAUCCAUCAGGCUUAGGUCCUAACUUCCUGUUCUUACUGCCCAUCCAUCAGGCUUAGGUCCUAACUUCCUGUUCUUACUGCCCAUCCAUUCAUCAGGCCUAGGUCAUGACUUCCUGUUCUUACUGUCCAUCUGUCCAUCAGGCCUAGGUCCUAACUUCCUGUUCUUACUGCCCAUCUAUCCAUCAGGCUUAGGUCCUAACUUCCUGUUCUUACUGCCUGUCUGUCCAUCAAGCUUAGGUCCUAACUUCUUCUUACUGCCCAUCUGUCCAUCAGGCCUAGGUCCUAACUUCCUGUUCGUACUGCCAUCCGUCCAACAGGCCUAGGUGCUAACUUCCUGUUCUUACUGCCCAUCCGCCCAUCAGGCCUAGGUCCUAACUUCCUGUUCGUACUGCCCAUCCGUCCAUCAGGUCUAGGUCCGAACUUCUUGUUCUUACUGGCCAUCCGCCCAUCAGGCCUAGGUCCUAACUUCCUGUUUUUAGUGCCCGACCGCCCAUCAGGCCUAGGUCCUAACUUCCUGUUUUUAGUGCCCAACCGUCCAUCAGGCCUAGGUCCUAACU